AUGCAUUCGCACGCGGUGCAUUUGGCCAUGUUGGCACUCGUCAGAGCUUCCAUUGUAGUUGUAUCAGCUUACUACAUGCACCACAAGACGCUAAUGCAACUACUGGAGUUUGCGCGUACGGUUGAACCGGAAGGUGGAAACCACGACAACGAUUCACUGUUGCAUUCGAAGAGGAGGCAUGGAGGCUCUAAGAGCAUCUCCAAUGGUGCAACUCAAUUUUGGGUUCUUUGCGGGACCCAUUAA
rnacentral:lncRNA from 1 species